CAGCUGUAACAGAUGUGUCCUAUGGACCAUGCAGAGGAGGGCAGGGCUAGCAUUUACAAAUCAGUCUUUACCAACUCUUCCAAAGAGAUGAUGUGUUUCCCAGACUUCCCAUAUCCUGAUGACUUCCCCAACUUUAUGCACAACAUCAAGAUCCAGGAAUAUCUCACUGCAUUCGCCAAAGAAAAGAACCUCCUGAAGUACAUACAAUUUAAGGUAAGAUGUUAUCAACAAUUUAGCUCUUGUCAUAAUGCUGAAGAAGUCUAUGUCUGCUACUGGAUUCUCACUUGUUCCUUUCAGUAUCCCUUACUAAUUUGUCAACUCUUCAGAAAUUUAAGAAGCAGUGCACAUAGAAAAGGGGGGUUUCUUUCUGUAUUUCUUAGGACAUUGGACCAGAGAAAAAUGUUCCUAUUUUUGCAACUACGGCUAUGGGAUGUUACCACUGAAAGGGAUGGUAAAAGAGAUCGGCUGUCUUUGAUGCUGUUGAUGGUUUGUUCUGGACAUCAUGUCUAUCCAACCUACCAAAAGAGUCCUUUCCAGGUAAGGCACAAUUUAAGCUGCUAGCCACGGAGGCCCCUCUCUUCAGCCAAAACAACUGUCAAAGAGGACUGACAGAUGAGAGAUGCCUUUUGACACCACUUUCUGCCGCUGGGGUAAUAGAUCCAUUCCUCAAGAAGGAUCUGGGGAGCUCAUCAGAAACACUACAAAUGGUCACUAAUUUCAUGGUUGAAAUGGUGUUUUUUAAGGUUGUGAUCAGCUCCAGAAGUGGCUCCUGGGUGAUGAGCCGCGUCUGGACAUGGUUAUCCCUGGGACAUGGUGCUUAUCACUCGAUUUGGAACCUUCCUCAAGAACAAUUUACCCACAGCCAUCUCUGACUGGUUGUACAUGAAGCAGAUGAAUGCAAUUCAAGCAUGAAAACUAUGGCUUGAUGCCUUUAAAUGGAGUCCUGAGGAAAGAACCUGUAUUUAAUGAUGAGCUCCCAGCUUGCAUUCUGUGUGGCAUUGUGUCCGUAAAGCCUAAUGUGAAGAAAUUCACAGAGACUUCGGCCAUUUUUGAGGAUGGGACCACAUUUGAGGGCAUUGACUGUGUAAUCUUUGUAACAGGCUAUAGUUAUGCCUACACGUUCCUUGAUGAGUCUAUCAUCAAAAACAGAAACAAUGAGAUCAUUUUAUUUAAAGGAGUCUUUCCUCCUCUACUUGAGAAGUCAACCAUAGCAGUGAUUGGCUUUGUCCAGUCCCUUGGGGCUGCCAUUCCCACAGUUGACCUCCAGUCCCGCUGGGCAGCACGAGUAAUAAAGGGAACUUGUACUUUGCCUUCUAUGGAAGACAUGAUGAAUGAUUAUAUAUGAGAAAAUGGGAGAAAGCGCAAAUGGUAUGGCAAAAGCGAGACCUUACAGCAGAUUACAUUGUUUAUAUGGAUGAACUUCCUCCUUCAUUGGGGUAAAGCCCAACAUCCCAUGGCUGUUUCUCACAGAUGCCAAAUUGGCCAUGGAAGUUUAUUUUGGCCCUUGUAGUUCCUACCGCUUUAGGCUGGUGGGCCCAGGGAAGUGGCCAGGAGCCAGAAAUGCCAUCCUGACCCAGUGGGACCGGUCGUUGAAACCCUUGCAGACACGAGUUGUUGGGAGUCUUCAGAAGCCUUGCUUCUUUUUCCAUUGGCUGAAGCUCUUUGCAAUUCCUAUUCUGUUAAUUGCUGUUUUCCUUGUAUUGACGUAAUCAUCAUUUUCUCUAGGAUUUCCGAAAGUUACUGACAAUACCCAGACAACAGCUUUGCUAUUUAAAAAUUAAAAUUUUCACACCAUCUACUUUUCUAUUCAACAUCUUUUGCAGUACUCUGUAGACAUUAGUCAGUAGCACAGUGUUAUUUCUAGGCUUUGAAAUAGCCACUUUAAGAAUCAUAUCAUAAUCUUGAGAGAGUACUAAUCAUUUCUGUUUGGGUUCACUAACACUUCAAAAUCAGAACUAUGUUCUUUAUAUCUAACUUAAAUCAUUUCCUGAAACAUUUUUGACAUGAUUCCUUUUUCCUUUAAACAAUGUUUGAAAGAUGUAUUUUAAAUCUAAACAAAGAGCAAAUUAAGCAGAAUAAUUA